GGCUCGGUCCAGAGGCAGUGUCGCACCCAAUGAGGCCUGGCUGAGGGGCGACUAUUGCUAGUUGAAACUUCAUCCAGAGGCG
rnacentral:snRNA from 1 species